CUACGGGUGGCAGCAGUCGAGAAUAUUUAGCAAUGGACGAAAGUCUGACUAUGCGACGCCGCGUGCAGGAUGAAGGUUUUCGGAUUGUAAACUGCUUUUGUCAGGGGAGAAACCUGUAGCGUUAAUAGCGAUACAGCUGACGGUACCUGACGAAUAAGCCACGGCAAACUCCGUGCCAGCAGCCGCGGUAAUACGGAGGUGGCAAGCGUUACUCGGAAUUAUUGGGUGUAAAGGGCAGGUAGGUGGUCUUGUAAGUGAGGGGUGAAAUCCCACGGUUCAAUCGUGGAACUGCCUUUCAAACUGCAGGACUUGAGAGUGUUAGGGGAGAAUGGAAUUCCCGGUGUAAGGGUGAAAUCUGUAGAUAUCGGGAAGAACACCAACAGCGAAGGCAAUUCUCUGGGGCACUUCUGACGCUGAACUGCGAAAGCUAGGGUAGCAAACAGGAUUAGAUACCCUCGUAGUC
rnacentral:rRNA from 1 species